UGGACGGUAUUAUGGAUAUGCUGUCUCUGUAUGGUAACAUACGGCUUAGGAAACUCCACUAUAUGCGGGAAAAUCCUGUUACGUUUAGGGCUACUAAUACACUUGGAAGAACCUGGGUUUCUUGGAACUUUGCCUUCUUAGGCUACCUAUGCCGGUAGAAGGGUUGUGGAACAAGUUGCUACCAUUAGGGUGGUUAAGAUGGUUUUAAUGCCAGGGUAUUAUGUAAAAAUGCUUUCGACAAGGGGACAAUCCGCCUGCAGAACUAAUCUAAAAAGAACUGCAUCAGAGACUAAAUGUGGAGCAUCCUUCUUCUUUUUCUUGGUUUUUUUAGAAGUCGAUAUAAGACAGGCUCGAAGCCAACCAAAGAUAGAAGGAUGAAGAUAUAGUCCGAUCAUUAUGGAAACAUGGUG
rfam:Rhizophagus irregularis DAOM 181602 strain DAOM 197198 GLOINscaffold_4832_Cont4827 mitochondrial, whole genome shotgun sequence.